UCAUAUGCCGUCUUCGCCAUACCGCACCGAGGCAGGGCCGCACCGCACGCAAGUUGGUCGUCUGGUUUCGUCACCCACCGGGUCGCACGCACCACCGCCAGAUCCAAACCUCCCCAGCACGAGACGAGGAGAUCGGGAUGGAGCUGGAGGUGGGGGCGCCUUCGCCGGCGAGGUACCUGCUGGGGGCGGCGAUCAUGAUGGCCGGCGUGGUGCUGCCGCUGGCGUACAUGAUCUUCCGCAGCAAGCGCUCGCCGUCCUCCUCCUCCUCCGCCGCCGCCGCCGGGCCCUCCUCCUUCUCCAAGCAGACGAACAAGGGGCUCAUCUGAUCUGCUUCUUCCCCGAUGGAGGUGUGAUGGGCGGUGUGGAUUAGUGAGUGAGGGGUGGAUCGAUAGCGUCCCUUGAUGAUUGUAUUUCUCUGUUUUGGCUUACUGAGAAUCUGCAACUACCCCUCGAGAUUGGGCAUCAUCCGAAACAUCCAAUUAUUAGCUGAUUUCCUGAUUAGUUAGCUCCUCGUGUAUCCCAGAAUGCUUGCUUCUUUGACUGAUUUGAUAUGGUUAUAAAUGAAGAGUGCACUUUGACUACAUA